AUGUCCAUGGCCCGGUCCGCCGGAGCAGGCGCCGGCGUCCCGCUGCUGCUGGUGGCGAUGGCUAUGCUAAUGCUCGCCUCCGUGUCAGCCAUCGCUGCCGGCGAUAGUGACGACGCGGUGCCGGCAGGCGGCGGCAGGAAGAUGGCGACGGCGGGGGUCGCCGGGGCGGCCACUAUCGUCGUCCGGCGGCGGCGCAUCGCUAAGUCCAAAAUUCCACCUAAUCACGCCACGCAGGGCUCGAAUGUUAAAGCGGUGGAAGAAGCCCUCCCUCGCCGCAAGUCGGCGCCCCCGCGGCCGCCGGCGGCGGUGGCAGGCUCGCCGGCCCAGUUCCGCGGGCAGGCGCGGCUUCCGCUCUUCGCCGCGCCGCGCCGCUACGACCUCCGCCUCCGCCCCGACCUCGUCGCCUGCACCUUCACGGGCACCGCUGCCGUCGCCGUCGUGGUCUCCGCGCCCACACGCUUCCUCGUCCUCAACGCCGCCGACCUCUCCGUCGACCGCUCCUCGAUCCGCUUCCGGGAUUUGGCGCCCAAGGAGGUGGUGUACUUUGAUGGCGACGAGAUCCUGGUGCUCGGGUUCCCCAAGGUGUUGCCGCUCGGCGAGGGCGUGCUUAUUAUCAAGUUCAACGGCACGCUCAACGAUCAGAUGAGGGGGUUCUACAGGAGUAAGUAUCAGUAUAAGGGAAAGCAGAAGAACAUGGCGGUCACACAGUUUGAGGCUGUGCAUGCCCGGCGUUGCUUCCCAUGCUGGGAUGAGCCUGCAUUCAAGGCUAAGUUCAAGCUAACUCUUGAAGUGCCAUCUGAGCUGGUAGCGCUGUCCAAUAUGCCAGUAGCUGAUCAAACAAUUGCUGGUCCUAUCAAGACUGUCCAUUAUGAGAAAUCACCCCUUAUGUCAACUUAUUUAGUGGCAAUCGUUGUUGGCUUGUUUGAUUAUAUAGAGGGUGUGACAUCAGAAGGUACCAAAGUACGUGUGUACACUCAAGUUGGUAAUAGUAAUCAAGGAAAGUUUGCACUAGAUGUUGGUUUGAAGUCACUGAGUCUCUAUAAACAUUACUUCGGCACACCUUAUCCCCUGCCCAAGUUGGAUAUGGUUGCUAUCCCUGAUUUUGCUGCUGGAGCGAUGGAGAACUAUGGAUUGGUUACUUUCCGUGAAGUGGCUUUGCUUUUUGAUGAGCAGUCUUCAUCACAAUCCAGCAAACAGAGUGUUGCAAUUACAGUGGCACAUGAAUUGGCUCACCAAUGGUUUGGCAAUCUUGUAACCAUGGCAUGGUGGACUCACUUGUGGCUGAACGAAGGUUUUGCUACAUGGAUGAGUCAUUUAGCAGUAGAUUCCCUUUUCCCGCAAUGGAAUAUCUGGACGCAAUUCCUUAGUGGCACAACUGCUGGUCUCAAAUUGGAUUCACUUGCUGCGUCUCAUCCUAUUGAGGUUGAAAUACAUCAAGCAAGUGAGGUUGAUGAAAUUUUUGAUGCCAUAAGUUAUGAAAGGGUGCUUCUAUUAUUUGCAUGCUACAAAAUUACCUUGGGGCAGAGCGUUUUCAGAAAGCGUUGGCUGCUUAUAUAAAAAGAUAUGCCUACUCAAAUGCUAAAACUGAUGACCUGUGGGCUGUUCUUGAAGAGAAAUCUGGUGAACCUGUCAAGAGUUUGAUGACCACAUGGACAAAGCAGCAAGGAUAUCCUGUUAUAAAUGCAAAACUGAAAGGGAAUCGCCUAGAACUUGAACAGGCACAGUUUUUGUUAGAUGGAUCCUCUGGCCCUGGCAUAUGGAUUGUCCCUAUAACAUCAAGCUGCAGUUCAUAUGAUACGCAGAAAUUUUUUUUACUGAAAGGCAAAAGUAAUAUGCUGGAUACAAGGGACAUUGCUUCACAGUGUGGUAACAGAGAGAAGGGUGGAAACUUCUGGAUUAAGUUGAACACUAAUCAAACAGGAUUUUAUAGAGUCAACUAUGAUGACGAACUUUCUGCUGCACUUCAAGAUGCAGUGCAGGACAAGAAGCUCUCCUUGAUGGAUAAAAUUGGCAUUGUGGAAGAUUCACAUGCCCUAUCUAUGGCCUGCAAACGAACAUUAACAUCUCUGUUAUAUUUACUGUAUGCUUAUCGUGAGGAAACUGAUUACAGUGUUCUUUCACACACAACCACUGUAAGUUUAAGUGUCGCUACAAUAUCAACUGAUGCAACUCCUGACUUGGUCGGUGACAUCAAGCAGCUUUUGAUCAAGCUUCUUCUGUCACCCGCUCUAAAUUUAGGCUGGGAUCCAAAGGAUGGUGAGAGCCACCUGGAUGCUAUGCUUAGACCAGUGCUCUUGGAUGCACUUGUCAAACUUGGGCAUGAUAAGACUAUACAUGAGGGAGCUAGGCGUUUCCGUAUCUUCGUCCAUGGUCACAACACUUCCCUUCUUCCUUCAGAUACCAGGAAGGUGGCAUACCUUGCUGUGAUGCAGAAUGUUACUAGUUCAAACAGAUCUGGUUACGAUGAUCUUCUUAAAGUCUACAGACAGACAGUUGAAGCAGAGGAAAAGGCACGUGUCUUAGGUGCAUUAUGUUCUUGUAAGGAUAACAAUAUUGUUCUUGAGUCACUGAAUUUCCUUUUCAGCGGUGAGGUUCGCUAUCAAGAUGCAUACUAUGUGCUUCAAGGUAUUAGUGUUGAGACACGUGAAACUGCAUGGGUCUGGUUGAAGGAAAACUGGGAUUUAAUCUCAAAGAUAGCAGGCGAUGUAGGAGUGUCAGUUGUCAUCAGAUUUGUCCUCGAAUUGUUCACCUCCAAUGAGAAGGCAGAAGAGUUCUCCCGCUUCUUCGCAACCCGCAAGAAGCCCGGAUUCGAGAGAACACUGAAGCAGAGCCUUGAGAGCGUGCGAAUCAGUGCGAGGUGGAUCCAGGGCAUCAGGAGCGAGACCCAGCUCGCUCAAACGGUGCAGGAGCUGCUGCAUAGGCCCUGAUCUGCCUUCCUUUUCUGUUUCACAAGUGGCUGUUAAUAAGAUGCCUUCAGAUGCAUCUGUUUCUACAUUCUCAUUUGUGCUUGUAGUGUUCCAUUUGCCAUGCAGCUGUAAGUUAUUUCGUUCUUAUUUUUAGCGGGAACAAGUUUAUUUAACUUCUUUGAACUAUCGAGGUUCGUCUACUUGGGGCUGGAGUGCUAAACUUUAACAUCUAUUAACACAUAUAUCUUUGCUAA